AGUAAUAUAAGCUAAAUAAGCUAUUGGGUUCAUACCUCAAAAAUACUUGAUUGUUAUUACUA
rnacentral:tRNA from 1 species